rfam:Canis lupus familiaris chromosome 20, whole genome shotgun sequence.
GGACGUGAGAGGGAUCUGGCUGUGGCGUCUGUCACUAAGUUGAUCGCCAAGGGUCAAUUCGGCUGAUCUGGCUGGGCUAGGCAUGUAUGAUCUUCCUUCCUCAUUGAUCCAUGUGCAUCCCUCCUGACACUGCAGCUUCAGCUCUGUUAGGUGGGAGAGGAGGAUAAUCCUUUGGUCAAGGGUAUAGGAGUAGCUGUGCUCCAUGGCUAGAAUCUGCAAACUCUCAAGGUCCAUUUGUAAAAAGAACAUCAGGUAGUCAAAUUUCCAAGACUCCAGACACACCCAGAUGAGGUAGUACAUGGAGCAGUCUGCCUUUCUUU